GGCGGCGGCUGUAAAUAUGCGCGGCCGACCGCGACUUAACCGCAUAUUGGAGCGAAAAAAUGGCUUUGACCACCGAGCAAAAAGCACAAAUCCUGAAGGAUUUUGCCCAGAAGGAA
rfam:Alcanivorax sp. Nap_24 scaffold_36, whole genome shotgun sequence.